rnacentral:rRNA from 1 species
GACGAACGCUGGCGGCGCGCCUAACACAUGCAAGUCGAACGGAGCUGAGAGAAGCUUGCUUUUCUUAGCUUAGUGGCGAACGGGUGAGUAACGCGUGAGUAACCUGCCCUGGAGUGGGGGACAACAGUUGGAAACGACUGCUAAUACCGCAUAAGCCCACGAUCCGGCAUCGGAUUGAGGGAAAAGGAUUUAUUCGCUUCAGGAUGGACUCGCGUCCAAUUAGCUAGUUGGCGAGGUAACGGCCCACCAAGGCGACGAUUGGUAGCCGGACUGAGAGGUUGAACGGCCACAUUGGGACUGAGACACGGCCCAGACUCCUACGGGAGGCAGCAGUGGGGGAUAUUGCACAAUGGGGGAAACCCUGAUGCAGCGACGCCGCGUGGAGGAAGAAGGUUUUCGGAUUGUAAACUCCUGUCGUUAGGGACGAUAAUGACGGUACCUAACAAGAAAGCACCGGCUAACUACGUG